GACGAACGCUGGCGGCGUGCUUAACACAUGCAAGUCGAACGGAAAGGCCCUGCUUUUGUGGGGUGCUCGAGUGGCGAACGGGUGAGUAACACGUGAGUAACCUGCCCUUUACUUUGGGAUAUCUUCAGGAAACUGGGGCUAAUACCGGAUAGGAGCUCCUGCUGCAUGGUGGGGGUUGGAAAGUUUCGGCGGUUGGGGAUGGACUCGCGGCUUAUCAGCUUGUUGGUGGGGUAGUGGCUUACCAAGGCUUUGACGGGUAGCCGGCCUGAGAGGGUGACCGGCCACAUUGGGACUGAGAUACGGCCCAGACUCCUAAGGGAGGCAGCAGUGGGGAAUAUUGAACAAUGGGCGGAAGCCUGAUGCAGCAACGCCGCGUGCGGGAUGACGGCCUUCGGGUUGUAAACCGCUUUCGCCUGUGACGAAGCGUGAGUGACGGUAAUGGGUAAAGAAGCACCGGCUAACUACGUG
rnacentral:rRNA from 1 species